rnacentral:rRNA from 1 species
GAAAACUCCGGUGGUACGGGAUGGACCCGCGUCUGAUUAGCUGGUUGGCGGGGUAACGGCCCACCAAGGCGACGAUCAGUAGCCGGCCUGAGAGGGCGGACGGCCACAUUGGGACUGAGACACGGCCCAAACUCCUACGGGAGGCAGCAGUGGGGAAUAUUGCACAAUGGGGGAAACCCUGAUGCAGCGACGCCGCGUGAGUGAAGAAGCGUUUCGGCGCGUAAAGCUCUGUCAGCGGGGAAGAAACACGGUUCGCGAGAGCCGCGGACGGUACCCGACCAAGAAGCCCCGGCUAACUACGUGCCAGCAGCCGCGGUAAUACGUAGGGGGCAAGCGUUAUCCGGAUUCACUGGGUGUAAAGGGAGCGUAGACGGCGAGACAAGUCUGGAGUGAAAGGCCGGGGCCCAACCCCGGGACUGCUCUGGAAACUGCCUGGCUGGAGUACAGGAGAGGUAAGUGGAAUUCCUAGUGUAGCGGUGAAAUGCGUAGAUAUUAGGAGGAACACCAGUGGCGAAGGCGGCUUACUGGACUGUAACUGACGUUGAGGCUCGAAAGCGUGGGGAGCAAACAGGAUUAGAUACCCUGGUAGUCCACGCCGUAAACGAUGAUCACUAGGUGUCGG